GACGAACGCUGGCGGCGUGCUUAACACAUGCAAGUCGAACGAAGAGCGACGGAAGCUUGCUUCUAUCAAUCUUAGUGGCGAACGGGUGAGUAACGCGUAAUCAACCUGCCCUUCAGAGGGGGACAACAGUUGGAAACGACUGCUAAUACCGCAUACGAUCUAAUCUCGGCAUCGAGGAUAGAUGAAAGGUGGCCUCUACAUGUAAGCUAUCACUGAAGGAGGGGAUUGCGUCUGAUUAGCUAGUUGGAGGGGUAACGGCCCACCAAGGCGAUGAUCAGUAGCCGGUCUGAGAGGAUGAACGGCCACAUUGGGACUGAGACACGGCCCAGACUCCUACGGGAGGCAGCAGUGGGGAAUCUUCCGCAAUGGACGAAAGUCUGACGGAGCAACGCCGCGUGAGUGAUGACGGCCUUCGGGUUGUAAAGCUCUGUUAAUCGGGACGAAAGGCCUUCUUGCAAAUA
rnacentral:rRNA from 1 species